CGCGUAGGCGGUUUCUAAAGUCAGAUGUGAAAGCCCGGGGCUUAACCCCGGAAGUGCAUUUGAAACUUAGGGACUUGGGUAUGGGAGAGGGAAGUGGAAUUCCUGGUGUAGCGGUGAAAUGCGUAGAUAUCAGGAGGAACACCGGUGGCGAAGGCGGCUUCCUGGACCAAUACUGACGCUGAGGCGCGAAGGCGUGGGGAGCAAACA
rnacentral:rRNA from 1 species